rnacentral:rRNA from 1 species
CCCUUAGAUGUUCUGGGCCGCACGCGUGCUACGGCGCAACAAGUUUCUUUCCUUGGCUCGAUAGGCCUGGGUAAUCUUUGAACGCCGGUCGUGAUGGGGAUAGAUCCUUGCAAUUUUUGAUCUUCAACGAGGAAUUCCUAGUAAAUGCGAGUCAUCAUCUCGCGUUGAUUACGUCCCUGCCCUUUGUACACACCGCCCGUCGCACCUACCGAUUGAAUGGUCCGGUGAAGCCUCGGGAUUGCGAAUGCUUCGUGCGGACGCGAGAACUUGGCUAAACCUUACCAUUUAGAGGAAGGUGAAGUCGUAACA